rnacentral:rRNA from 1 species
CCUACGGGCGGCAGCAGUGAGGAAUAUUGGUCAAUGGGCGCGAGCCUGAACCAGCCAAGUAGCGUGAAGGAUGACUGCCCUACGGGUUGUAAACUUCUUUUAUAAAGGAAUAAAGUGAGGCACGUGUGCCUUUUUGUAUGUACUUUAUGAAUAAGGCACGGCUAACUCCGAGCCAGCAGCCGCGGUAAUACGGAGGAUCCGAGCGUUAUCCGGAUUGAUUGGGUUUAAAGGGAGAGUAGAUGGGUUGUUAAGUCAGUUGUGAAAGUUUGGGGCUCAACCGUAAAAUUGCAAUUGAUACUGGCAGUCUAGAGUACAGUUGAGGUAGGCGGAAUUCGUGGUGUAGCGGUGAAAUGCUUAGAUAUCACGAAGAACUCCGAUUGCGAAGGCAGCUUACUAAACUGCCACUGACAUUGAUGCUCGAAAGUGUGGGUAUCAAACAGGAUUAGAUACCCGAGUAGUC